rnacentral:rRNA from 1 species
AGUGAACGCUGGCGGUAGGCCUAACACAUGCAAGUCGAACGGCAGCACAGUAAGAGCUUGCUCGUACGGGUGGCGAGUGGCGGACGGGUGAGGAAUACAUCGGAAUCUACUUUUUCGUGGGGGAUAACGUAGGGAAACUUACGCUAAUACCGCAUACGACCUACGGGUGAAAGCAGGGGAUCUUCGGACCUUGCGCGAUUGAAUGAGCCGAUGUCGGAUUAGCUAGUUGGCGGGGUAAAGGCCCACCAAGGCGACGAUCCGUAGCUGGUCUGAGAGGAUGAUCAGCCACACUGGAACUGAGGCACGGUCCAGACUCCUACGGGAGGCAGCAGUGGGGAAUAUUGGACAAUGGGCGCAAGCCUGAUCCAGCCAUACCGCGUGGGUGAAGAAGGCCUUCGGGUUGUAAAGCCCUUUUGUUGGGAAAGAAAAGCAGCAGGUUAAUACCCCGCUGUUCUGACGGUACCCAAAGAAUAAGCACCGGCUAACUUCGUG